rnacentral:rRNA from 1 species
UGGGGAAUAUUGCACAAUGGGCGCAAGCCUGAUGCAGCCAUGCCGCGUGUAUGAAGAAGGCCUUCGGGUUGUAAAGUACUUUCAGCGAGGAGGAAGGCGUUGUGGUUAAUAACCGCAACGAUUGACGUUACUCGCAGAAGAAGCACCGGCUAACUCCGUGCCAGCAGCCGCGGUAAUACGGAGGGUGCAAGCGUUAAUCGGAAUUACUGGGCGUAAAGCGCACGCAGGCGGUCUGUCAAGUCGGAUGUGAAAUCCUCGGGCUCAACCUGGGAACUGCAUCCGAAACUGGCAGGCUAGAGUCUUGUAGAGGGGGGUAGAAUUCCAGGUGUAGCGGUGAAAUGCGUAGAGAUCUGGAGGAAUACCGGUGGCGAAGGCGGCCCCCUGGACAAAGACUGACGCUGAGGUGCGAAAGCGUGGGGAGCAAACA